GACGAACGCUGGCGGCGUGCUUAACACAUGCAAGUCGAACGAAGAGCGAUGGAAGCUUGCUUCUAUCACUCUUAGUGGCGCACGGGUGAGUAACGCGUAAUCAACCUGCCCUUCAGAGGGGGACAACAGUUGGAAACGACUGCUAAUACCGCAUACGAUCUAAUCUCGGCAUCGAGGAUAGAUGAAAGUUGGCCUCUACAUGUAAGCUAUCACUGAAGGAGCGGAUUGCGUCUGAUUAGCUAGUUGGAGGGGUAACGGCCCACCAAGGCGAUGAUCAGUAGCAGGUCUGAGAGGAUGAACGGCCACAUUGGGACUGAGACACGGCCCAGACUCAUACGGGAGGCAGCAGUGGGGAAUCUUCCGCAAUGGACGAAAGUCUGACGGAGCAACGCCGCGUGAGUGAUGACGGCCUUCGGGUUGUAAAGCUCUGUUAAUCGGGACGAAAGGCCUUCUUGCGAAUAGUGAGAAGGAUUGACGGUACCGGAAUAGAAAGCCACGGCUAACUACGUG
rnacentral:rRNA from 1 species